AAAAUCACCUAUUUUGGAGCAACCUUCUGAAGCAGCCUGGAUCUCUAUGCACAGAGGCAAUCAGAGAAGCGCAGAGAGGGUAUGUCCGUGCCCUUGGUCACACAGCCUGUCUACAGUGGUCGGCUAACUGAUGAACCACGCCUGAGGUGGGAGGGAGGGGAAGCCGCAUCUGUGCAGACGUGGAAAACUCAGCGCGGAAGCCCUGGCCUCUCAGUCAUGGGAGGAGGGGCUCCUUCAGAAGCUGAGACGUGAACCAGAAAAGUCACUUCUGUGGGUUCCCUUGAGGUCCACCCCCGGCCCACCCGGGGCCCACCACUUACGCCGGUCGGUGCGGAUGGGGUCUGACCAAAGGGUCUGGUCCUGUAC